rnacentral:rRNA from 1 species
UACGGGGGGGGCAAGCGUUGUUCGGAAUCACUGGGCAUAAAGGGCGCGUAGGCGGGUUUCCAAGUCGGUUGUGAAAUCCCUCAGCUCAACUGAGGAACUGCAUCCGAUACUGUUUGUCUUGAGGACGGGAGGGGAGAGUGGAACUUCUGGUGAAGCGGUGAAAUGCGUAGAUAUCAGAAGGAACGCCGGUGGCGAAAGCGACUCUCUGGCCCGUAUCUGACGCUGAAGCGCGAAAGCUUGGGUAGCAAACGGG